CCGAGGGGCUCCAGGUGGGAGCGUUGUCGGAAUAUUGGGCGUAAGAGCAUGUAGGCGGUUUUCUAUGUCUGGAGUGAAAAUGCGGGGCUCAACCCCGUAUGGCUCUGGAUACUGGAAGACUUGAGUGCAGGAGAGGAAAGGGGAAUUCCCAGUGUAGCGGUGAAAUGCGUAGAUAUUGGGAGGAACACCAGUGGCGAAGGCGCCUUUCUGGACUGUGUCUGACGCUGAGAUGCGAAAGCCAGGGUAGCGAACGGGAUUAGAUACCCCGGUAGUCCUGGCUGUAAACGAUGGGUACUAGGUGUAGGAGGUAUCGACCCCUUCUGUGCCGGAGUUAACGCAAUAAGUACCCCGCCUGGGGAGUACGUCCGCAAGGAUGAAACUCAAAGGAAUUGACGGGGGCCCGCACAAGCGGUGGAGUAUGUGGUUUAAUUCGACGCAACGCGAAGAACCUUACCAAGGCUUGACAUUGAAUGACCGCUCCAGAGAUGGAGCUUUCCCUUCGGGGACAUGAAAACAGGUGGUGCAUGGCUGUCGUCAGCUCGUGUCGUGAGAUGUUGGGUUAAGUCCCGCAACGAGCGCAACCCCUAUCCUAUGUUACCAGCGGGUAAUGCCGGGGACUCAUAGGAGACUGCCAAGGACAACUUGGAGGAAGGCGGGGAUGACGUCAAGUCAUCAUGCCCCUUAUGUCUUGGGCUACACACGUACUACAAUGGUCGGCAACAGAGGGAAGCGAAGCCGUGAGGCAGAGCAAACCCCAGAAACCCGAUCUCAGUUCGGAUUGCAGGCUGCAACUCGCCUGCAUGAAGUCGGAAUCGCUAGUAAUCGCAGGUCAGCAUACUGCGGUGAAUACGUUCCCGGGCCUUGUACACACCGCCCGUCACACCACGAAAGUUGGUAACACCCGAAGCCGGUGGGGUAACCGUAAGGAGCCAGCCGUCUAAGGUGGGGCCGAUGAUUGGGGUGAAGUCGUAACAAGGUAGCCG
rnacentral:rRNA from 1 species